rnacentral:rRNA from 1 species
UACAGAGGGGGCAAGCGUUAUUCGGAAUUAUCGGGCGUAAAGGGCGCGUAGGCGGCCUGACAAGUGGAAGGUGAAAUCCCUCGGCUUAACCGAGGAACUGCCCUCCAAACUGUUUGGCUUGAGACCGGGAGAGGUGAGUGGAAUUCCCAGUGUAGCGGUGAAAUGCGUAGAUAUUGGGAGGAACACCAGUGGCGAAGGCGGCUCACUGGACCGGUACUGACGCUGAGGCGCGAAAGCGUGGGGAGCAAACGGG